GAUCAUGGCUCAGGAUGAACGCUGGCGGCGUGCUUAACACAUGCAAGUCGAACGGAGUUUAGAUGAAACCUAGUGAUUCUAAACUUAGUGGCGGACGGGUGAGUAACGCGUGGGUAACCUGCCAUAUACAGGGGGAUAACACUUAGAAAUAGGUGCUAAUACCGCAUAAGCGCACAGGACCGCAUGGUCUGGUGUGAAAAAACUCCGGUGGUAUAUGAUGGACCCGCGUCUGAUUAGCUAGUUGGUGAGGUAACGGCCCACCAAGGCGACGAUCAGUAGCCGGCCUGAGAGGGUGAACGGCCACAUUGGGACUGAGACACGGCCCAAACUCCUACGGGAGGCAGCAGUGGGGAAUAUUGCACAAUGGGGGAAACCCUGAUGCAGCCGACGCCGCGUGAGUGAAGAAGUAUCUCGGUAUGUAAAGCUCUAUCAGCAGGAAAGAAAAUGACGGUACCUGACUAAGAAGCCCCGGCUAACUACGUGCCAGCCGCAGC
rnacentral:rRNA from 1 species